rnacentral:rRNA from 1 species
CAGCAGCCACGGGAAUACGAAGGGUGCAAGCGUUACUCGGAAUUACUGGGCGUAAAGCGUGCGUAGGUGGUGGUUUAAGUCCGUUGUGAAAGCCCUGGGCUCAACCUGGGAAUUGCAGUGGAUACUGGGUCACUAGAGUGUGGUAGAGGAUAGUGGAAUUUCCGGUGUAGCAGUGAAAUGCGUAGAGAUCGGAAGGAACAUCUGUGGCGAAGGCGACUAUCUGGGCCAACACUGACACUGAGGCACGAAAGCGUGGGGAGCAAACAGGAUUAGAUACCCCAGUAGUCCCUGUCUCUUAUAC